UACGGGGGGGGCAAGCGUUGUUCGGAAUUACUGGGCGUAAAGGGCUCGUAGGGGGCCAACUAAGUCAGACGUGAAAUCCCUCAGCUUAACUGGGGAACUGCGUCUGAUACUGGAUGGCUUGAGUUUGGGAGAGGGAUGCGGAAUUCCAGGUGUAGCGGUGAAAUGCGUAGAUAUCUGGAGGAACACCGGUGGCGAAGGCGGCAUCCUGGACCAAUACUGACACUGAGGAGCGAAAGCCAGGGGAGCAAACGGG
rnacentral:rRNA from 1 species